AGCAGUAGGAAUCUUCCACAAUGGACGCAAGUCUGAUGGAGCAACGCCGCGUGAGUGAAGAAGGUUUUCGGAUCGUAAAGCUCUGUUGUUGGUGAAGAAAGAUAGUGAGAGUAACUGCUCAUUAUUUGCCGGUAAUCAACCAGAAAGUCACGGCUAACUACGUGCCAGCAGCCGCGGUAAUACGUAGGUGGCAAGCGUUGUCCGGAUUUAUUGGGCGUAAAGCGAGCGCAGGCGGAAAGAUAAGUCAGAUGUGAAAGCCCUCGGCUUAACCGAGGAAUAGCAUCGGAAACUGUCUUUCUUGAGUGCAGAAGAGGAGAGUGGAACUCCAUGUGUAGCGGUGAAAU
rnacentral:rRNA from 1 species